rnacentral:rRNA from 1 species
UUUAUGGAGAGUUUGAUCCUGGCUCAGGAUGAACGCUGGCGGCGUGCCUAAUACAUGCAAGUCGAGCGAACAGACGAGGAGCUUACUCCUCGAAC